GGUGAUGUUGGCUGAUCUGCAGGAACCCAUCCUACAUUAAGGCUGCAAUCCUAUACACCUUUACAUGAGAGUAAGUCCAAUGGAACUUUAUGAAACCUGAGCAAGACAUGCAUAAGAUUGCUUGGUUAGUCUAUGUACUUUUUCAUCCAGUGUUGAUAUUCCUCUCCCUUUCCCCUUCUGCACUUGUUAUUUACAAUUAAGAUAACUUAACUGGUACCCUCAAUUAUUAAAACAUCAUAUAGAGUUAUAAGAAGCUCAUUUCUCACUCAGUUAUGCCUAUAACCACAAUAAAACAUAAGGAUGUACGAAACAAAAAUGCCACCCUUCUCACCUGUUUCAGUUGCUCCAAACAAAAUAGUGACAUAAAAAUAUAAAAAAUAUAAAAACAAAGUAUAUACUUUGAGAGUAAUGCUAUGAAGCGACAGAUUUGCUCAAUGAAGUCUUCUAAUAAGUAUUUCCCAGCCCUUUCACAAUUAAAUCCUAUACAUAUCUACUUAGAAAUAAGCUCUAUUGAGUUCAAUUUACUGCCAGAUAAGAAUGUAUAGAACUGGGGUGUUAGCCCACUAUUAAUCUACAUAUGGAGCUUGCAAUCUGGAAAAGGACUACUUGGUAAAAAAAAUGAAGUCUCAGAGUUUGGACUGAGGCUUUUCAUGAUCUGAGUUAUGCCUGUGCAUUGAAAACUGAGACUCUCUUCAGCUAUGGUGUUACCUGCACUGAAAAUCAUACUCCUUCAGAGGGGGAGAAAUUUCCCUGCUUUAGCUUACUAGGCUAUAAAAGCAAAUACAGUAUAGAAAAGCUUGCCUGACACACAAUGGACUAGAAUUGUUGUGUCUUCAGGGGAGUGUCUUCAUUUAUUCUGUUAUAUUUUCAGCAACACUUUUUACAUUGUUAUUAUUAAGCUAGGUUUUUUAGGAUGUUUAAUUCUGACUGAUGGGAUUAUCGGUUUUUCCAAUGUCUCCUCUGCCUCCUGUGAUCUUAUUCUGAUUAUUUAUAUAUCAAUACACCUGAAGGAGCGUCUCCACCCCAUCAUUCAGCCUGGACACAGGUCCAGCGCCAAGGGCCUUCUGGCGGUUCCCCCACUGCGAGAAGUGAGGUUACAGGGAACCGGGCAGAGGGCCUUCUUGGUAGUGGCACAUGCCCUGUGGAAUGUCCUCCCAGCAGAUGUCAAGGAAAUAAACAGUUAUCUUACUUUUAAAAGACAUCUGAAGGCAGCCCUGUUUAGAGGAAGUUUUUAAUGUCUGAUGUUUUAUCCUGUUUUUAAUAUUCUGUUGGGAGCUGCCCAGAGUGGCUGGGGAAACUCAGCCAGAUGAGCGGGGUAUAAAUAAUAAUUUAUUAUUAUCACUAUUAUUACAG